CUCCUUCAAGCACACGAGUGCGUGCUGUGCCGGAUGAUGAGCCGACCUUCUCCUUUCCUUUAGAAGUUUGUUUUGGCGGCAUCCUGCAAAGUUGGAAAAUAGCUAGCAUUAGACAUCUUGAUAUAUAGCGAGAAAUCGCAUGAAAUGAAAGGCACGUAAAGCACAAAUCCCCCAAACUUGUUUCAAUAAGCAUGUAUACUACCACGGUAUAAUGAACAAUGUAGGAUGAUUAGAGUAGUAUAAAUGUAUAGUCCACAUGAAAAUAUAAGGA
rnacentral:lncRNA from 1 species